rnacentral:hammerhead_ribozyme from 1 species
ACUGCUGAAGAGUCCCACGAUAGGACGAAACGGCCGUCCAGU